rnacentral:rRNA from 1 species
UACGUAGGGUGCGAGCGUUGUCCGGAAUUAUUGGGCGUAAAGGGCUCGUAGGCGGUUUGUCGCGUCUGCUGUGAAAACUCGGGGCUUAACUCCGGGCCUGCAGUGGGUACGGGCAGACUAGAGUGCGGUAGGGGAGACUGGAAUUCCUGGUGUAGCGGUGAAAUGCGCAGAUAUCAGGAGGAACACCGGUGGCGGAGGCGGGUCUCUGGGCCGUAACUGACGCUGAGGAGCGAAAGCGUGGGGAGCGAACAGG